rnacentral:lncRNA from 1 species
GGGGGCCGCGGUGGAGCAAGCAUUGGGAAUGGGAGCGAGGUGUGAACUCCUAUAUACUCAUCCAUCCACCCACCUGCCCAUCUAGGCACCUAGUCAUCCAUCCAUCCAUCCAUCUAUCCAUCCAUCUACCCAUCUGUCUAUCCACCCACUUGCUCAUCCAUCCAUCCACCCACUCAUUCCUCACCAUUUAUUAAAAACAUUUUUUUGAAUAGUUAGGACAUUUACAUGGAAGAGAUUCACAUAGAAUAAAGGAUAAGAAAAAUAGUAAGACCCUGGCAACUUGGUAUUCCUCCCAAGAGAAAAACAGUUACUAGUUUAUUUAAUUCCUUUGGGAGAUAUUUUGUGCACACAGAAGUGCGUAGACAACUAUGCUCUCUGUUCUGUGCCGCGGUCUCUCAGCGUGUCUUGAAGACCCAGAUGGCAUUCACACGUAGCUCUGGAAGGCUGUCGGCGGGCUGUGCAUGUUGCAGGAAGCUGGGCGAAUGCAGAUUAUCGAGGACAAGGACACAGGCUUUGAGAUGUUCUGCGAAGUGGCUCUGCAGAAACCAAACAUCUGAUUUUUCCCUUUCUGUCUGAGGAGGGGUGGCUGGAGUUUCACUCAUUUGCAUCCCUUGGGUUAUAAAUUGUUUUCUUUCCUGCUUCUCCGAACCCAAAAUAAGUGAACAGGGUGUUCCCCGUGACACAGCAGAGCCGUGGACAGCUACUGGCUCUUCUCACCAGGCUGGCCCCCAUUGGUAGGGAGCCCCCUUACCCCCCGACAUAAUCAGGUUUCACAUUUCAAAGCUUUCAAAAAGGUAAAAGAUUGGUACAGCAGCCGUCCUCGCGUCCUUCAUUUAGGGUCACCCAUGUUGGCGUUAGAUGUUUUUCCUGUUGCAUUUUUGCCCCCAACACUUGACAUUAUGACCCUUCACCUAUAAAUACUUCAGCCUAUGUCCCCUAAGAACGAGGACACUCUCCACAUAACCCCACAGAACAAUGAUCGCACGAGAAAUUCAUCCUGAUGGAACAACUUUAAGGUAGAGCCCACCUUCAAACCUCCUGUUUGUUUUCUCUCUGGAGCUGCUCCCCACCCUGGUCCAGAUCCAAUCAGGAUUAGCUGCUGCGUCCAGUUGUCCUGUCUCCCAGGUCCUUUCAUCCAGAAUGCUCCCCGAUUCCCCUCCUCUCCGUUUCUUUCCUUCUCUUAUGACAUUGGCAUUUUUAAAGGAC